GGUGGAGGGAGCGUGGGGCGCUUUUGCCAUAACUGGCGGGCCGCAUGGCAUAUUUGCGCGAACGUUUCGCCAGUUCGUGAUUCCCUCGAACUGGCAUAGCUUUUUCUCUGCAGUUUAUGUACAUAUAUAUAUAUAUGUAUGUCUCACUGUUUGCUCCUGAUGUGUGUGCACAUGUGUGAAUAGAUAUGACACAUUCAUACUAUGUCUGUUUUCAUUAUAGUGGAUUAAAUGAGCUUGAAAGUCGUGUCC